GUUGUUAGAGCUUCCUUUAACCUAUUAAAAGAGUCAAAACAAACUUGGUCAAAAUUAAAAGGAACAUGAUGAUUUAACAAAUUUGUAAGAGGUUUAGCAAUUUUUAAAAAAUCCUUUAUAAAUCUCCAGUAGAAACCAGCAUACCCAAGAAAACUUCUAAUUCCUUUCACUAAAGUUGGUGGAGGCAUCUUCUCAAUCACUUCUACAUUGGCCUUGUCCACUUCAAUUCCUCUAUGUAACACCAAAUGUCCAAGAACAAUGCCUUCUUGCACCAUAAAAUGACAUUUCUCCUAAUUUAGCACCAAAUCUGUUUUUUCACAUCUUUUAAGCACUUUAGAGAGGUUAGAUAGACAAUUAUCAAAAGAAAAA
rnacentral:misc_RNA from 1 species